rnacentral:lncRNA from 1 species
UUAAAAUACUGAUAAUCAAUCAAUAUAUCUAUCAAAAAUAAAGAUAAAAUAUCGGCAAUACUCAAAAGAAAAGAACAAGCAAAUAUCUCUACUGUAAUCAUUCUCGGAUUUGAAGUUUUUUUAUUACAAUAUACACCCUAACUUCUAAAAAUAAAAGACUGAUUGAAGAUUAAAUAAUAGAUGACUGCUGCAGAGAAUAUAAUGGUAAUAAAUUGAGUAGCUUAGAAAAUGCAUAGAAUUUUGUUGUUUGGUUUAUCCUAAUACAAUUUUAACACAAAUGGCCUUUUUAGAGGACAUAAAUGUGAAAGAAAAAAAAUUGAAGCGGCUAUUUUAAGAGAUGUAACUACUUAAGCGAAUGAAGACCUUAACUUUUAGUCCCGACCCA